ACCUCAUCAACUGGAAGGAAGACCUUCUGGCCAACAAGGUAAAUGUACCUUGGUCCUUGUCUACUGGAAGGAAGACCUUGUGUACCUUGUUGCCCAGAAGGCCUUCCUUCCAGUCAACAAUGUACAUGUACCUUGUUGCCCAGAAGGUCUUCCUUCCAGUCAAAAAGGU
rnacentral:miRNA from 1 species